AGUGAACGCUGGCGGUAGGCCUAACACAUGCAAGUCGAACGGCAGCACAGUAAGAGCUUGCUCUUACGGGUGGCGAGUGGCGGACGGGUGAGGAAUACAUCGGAAUCUACUUUUUCGUGGGGGAUAACGUAGGGAAACUUACGCUAAUACCGCAUACGACCUACGGGUGAAAGCAGGGGAUCUUCGGACCUUGCGCGAUUGAAUGAGCCGAUGUCGGAUUAGCUAGUUGGCGGGGUAAAGGCCCACCAAGGCGACGAUCCGUAGCUGGUCUGAGAGGAUGAUCAGCCACACUGGAACUUGGACACAGUCCAGACUCCUACGGGAGGCAGCAGUGGGGAAUAUUGGACAAUGGGCGCAAGCCUGAUCCAGCCAUACCGCGUGGGUGAAGAAGGCCUUCGGGUUGUAAAGCCAUUUUGUUGGGAAAGAAAAGCGGCAGGUUAAUACCCCGCUGUUCUGACGGUACCCAAAGGAUAAGCACCGGCUAACUUCGUG
rnacentral:rRNA from 1 species